rnacentral:tRNA from 1 species
GACUCGAUAGCUCAAUGAGUAGAGCGGCGGUCUAGAUACCCGAAGAUGCGAGUUCAAAUCCCGCUCGAGCCA